GAUGAACGCUGGCGGCGUGCCUAAUACAUGCAAGUCGAACGAACGGACGAUGAGCUUUCUCCCCUGACGUUAGCGGCGGACGGGUGAGUAACACGUGGAUAACCUACCAAUAAUACUGGGAGAAUUUCGGAAAACCGCAGCUAAUACCGCAGAAUAUAUCAAACUGCAUGGUUCAAUAGUGAAAGACGGUUUUGCUGUUACUAAUAGCUGAAUCCGCGCCGCCUUAGUGAGUCGGGAAGGUAACUGCUUACCAAGGCAACGAUGCGUAGCCGACCUGAGAGGAUGAUCAGCCACACUGGAACUGAGACACGGUCCAGACUCCUACGGGAGGCAGCAGUAGGGAAUCUUCCGCAAUGGGCGAAAGCUUGACGGAGCAAAGCCGCGUGAGUGAUGAAGGUCUUCGGAUCGUAAAACUCUGUUAUUGGGGAAGAAGAAAAGUGUAAGUAACCACGCACGUAUUGACGGUACCUAAGCAGAAAGCCACGGCUAACUACGUG
rnacentral:rRNA from 1 species